rnacentral:tRNA from 1 species
CCAAAAGCUUAGGUUAAAACAAACCAGGGGCCUUCAAAGCCCCAAACAAGGCUUAAAUCCCUUAGCUUUUG